GUAGGUUUGUGCUUUUAUAAGCUUCAGGGGUUAUUCUGCAAUAUUCAUUAAGUUGAAGGACUCUCUAGCAAAUAGGCAUAACAGUUAGUUAUUUCUCAGCUAACUGAAGCAGCGGCCGUUUUGCGAGAGGAUUUGCAGAAGAUCAGAUUGAUGUAUAAAGGCAUUCUCUUAUUGUAUUCCUUAGUUUGCAGUGUGUAUUUUCUUCUUCUGAUUUACUUUUACGAUAUUGAGUUGAGUGGAAAGAUUUGGAGAGGUGCUAAGUAUAGCUGCUGUAAAUUGAAGCUUGAAGCUUCUUCUCUGUACUCUUCCGAUUCUUGAUAGUGAAAGUGUUCAUCUCCUUGUCCGUGGAUGUAGGCCUUCGUGGCUGAACCACGUAAAGAAUCUGUGUCAUUGUUUUACUUUGAUUUUACGAAUUGAUUCAACAAUUGGCGCCGUCCGUCGGAAUCGAACCCACGACGAUCAUCGCUUGAAGCUGAGUUGGUCAGAUUUUUUCAAUCGGUAAAUAGAUCUAACCGAUUCGAUUGUUUGAAGGAGAUGAAUCCAUCCAAGAUUGAGAUGGAUAAAUUUACCGGGAAAAACGAUUUCUCGCUGUGGAAGAUUAAGAUGCACGCGAUGUUGGUGCAGCAGGGACUUGCACAAGCUAUCGAUGGAGAUCAGAAAAAGGAGAAAGAUGAUGAUGCAUCUGCCUCAAAGAUGAGCAAGGGCGAGAUAGAUCAAAGGGCGCGUAGCUUGAUAAUUCUCAGUCUUGGAGAUAAGGUUCUUCGCGAAGUAGCGAAGGAGAAAACAGCUGCACAACUUUGGUCAAAAUUGGAGUCAUUGUAUAUGACCAAGUCCCUCGCAAACAGGCUAUAUCUGAAGCAGAAGCUGUACUCUCUCAAGUUUUCUGAAGAAAAAUCGAUAGAAGAUCAAAUGGAAGAAUUCACAAAGUCCAUAGAUGAUCUGGAAAGUAUAGAUGCACAACUGGCAGAUGAAGAUAAGGCAAUCCUUUUGCUAAAUGCACUCCCUAGAAGCUAUGAACAUUUGAAGGAUGCCAUAGUCUUUGGGAGAGAAGGAUCAAUCUCUCUUGAAGAGGUUCAAACUGCUCUGCGUGCUAAAGAACUCCAAAAACAAAACGAUGGGAAACAAGAAGCUUAUUCAGAAAGCUUAAACAUCAAGAAGUACAAAGGGAAAGGCAAGAAGUCAACUGAUGAUUCAAAGAAGAAGAAGGAAGGGAAAAAGGAAUCUGGGAAAGAAGCAAAGAAAUGUUUUGAAUGUCAGAAAACAGGUCACUUGAAGAAGAACUGCUAUAUCUGGAAAAGGAAACAACAGGAACAGAAAGGAGCAAUUCAAAACAAUGCUGAUAAUGUUCAAGAAACAGUAGAUGCUGAAGCCUUGAAGUUCUCAAGAUGACCCUCAAUUCAAAUGGAUCAUGGACUCAGCUUGCACAUUCCACAUGUGUCCCAACAAACACAUGUUCAACAAACUGGAACUAAAGGAGCAAGGAUCAGUCCUGCUAGGCAACAACCAAAUUUGCCAUGUGAAAGGUAUGGGAUCAGUUAGAUUUAAGAUGCAUGAUGGUUCUUUUAAACUGAUUACUGAAGUAAGAUUCAUACCUGAUAUUAAAAGAAAUCUGAUUUCUUUGGGUUUGUUAGAAAAGAAGGCAUGUAGUUGGGAAUCUAAUAAUGGAGAAUUACAUGUGAAAAAGGAUGGAAAGCUGAUUAUGAAAGCAUAUAGAAAACAUAAUCUGUACUAUCUUGAUGCUGAGGUUGUUAUUGGUGAGAGUGAGUCCAAUAUUGCUGAUGAUUUUAUGAAAUGGCAUACUAGACUAGGCCAUGUUGGAGAAAAAGGCUUAAAGGAACUUAUAAAACAGAAAAUAAUCCCUAGUUCGAGUUGUGAUAAAAUGCAACACUGUGAACCUUGCAUGCUAGGAAAAAGCACUAAAUUACCUUAUCCUAAGGGUAUGCAUGUAAGUAAAUCACCUCUUGAUUAUGCUCAUGCCGAUUUAUGGGGUCCAGCUAACACUGCUACUCUUGGAGGAGCAAGAUAUUUUCUCUCUAUUGUUGAUGACUUUAGCAGGAAGGUCUGGAUAUAUCUUUUGAAACAAAGUCCGACGCUUUCAAUUGCUUCAAAGAAUGGUGCGUUGAGGUGGAGAAUCAAAAGAGAGUCUCUCUCAAAUUUUGAGGACAGACAAUGGUCUAGAAUUCUUAUCAAGGAGUUUGACAAGUACUGUAAGAAGAAAGGAAUCAAAAAGGCAUAAAAGGCGUUCCGCCAAUCCACAACAAAAAUAGGAGGUUGUGGAAAGGAUGAACAGACCUUAUUGGAAAGAUGAGGUGUAUGAUGAUAAGCUCAGGAUUACCAGAAAGAUUCUGGGGAGAAGCUGCAUCAACAGCAGCCCACCUGAUCAAUAGUCACCUUCUUCAGUUUUGAAGUUCAAAACCCCAGAGGAAUUGUGGACAGGGCAUGUCAGUGACUACUCAAGCUUAAAGCCAUUUGGUUGUCAGGCUUUUGUGCACAUAAAGACAGAACAAACUAAGCACCAAGAGCUUUAAGGUGUGUAUGCUUGGAUACCCUACUGGAGUGAAGGGAUACAGAUUAUGGUGCACAGAGAAGGGAGAAAAUAAGGUUAUAUUGAGCAAGAUGUAAUAUUCAAGAAGACAUUAUGCCUUUUAAGAAAGAAAAGGUUCCAUACUCAAUGAAAGAGACAUCUCUACUGCUCAAAGUUUAAGAGAUAUACAGGUCAAGGUGAGCCCCUAGAUCAACAAACUAGUGAGCAAGAAGUUUCAGACCAAGAAUCUGAAAAGGGAAACAGAUGAGAAUCAACAACUGAUAGAGGAGCAUGAUGAACUUUCAGACUACAUGUUGGCCAGGGAUAGAGUCAGAAAGGGAAAUAAAACCUCCAAGUCGUUAUGGAAUGCUGAUAUGAUAGAUAUGCUUUCAACAUAGCAGAAGAUUUGGAGUAUCAGGAGCCCAAGAACUAUAAGGAAGCCAUGAGAAGUAAAGACAGGAGCAAAUUGGGUUAAGAGCAAUGACAAAGAAGAAAUGGAUCAAUUAAAGAAAAACCAGACAUGGAUACUUGUUGACAGACCAUCUCAUCAAAAGGCAGUUGGAUGUAAGUGGAUACUUCAAAAAGAAGAUAGAGAUGGUGAAUGGAAUGGAACAAGUCAGGUUCAAGGCUAGAUUAGUAGCCAAAGGAUUCCUCAAAAGAGGGAAUAGACUUUUAAUGAAAUAUUCUCUCCAGUAGUGAAACAUUGCUCCAUAAGGAUUUUACUAUCUCUGGUGACUCAAGAUGAUAUGAUAUUAGAGCAGCUCGAUGUGAAAACUGCCUUCUUGAAUGGAAAUCUAGAAGAAACUUAUAUAUGGAGCACCUGAGGGUUUUAUUUCACCAGGACAGGAAGGAAAGGUUUGCCUUCUCAAAAGAUCUUUGUAUGGACUCAAACAAAGCUCAAGGCAAUGGUAUAUUAGAUUUGAUGAGUUUAUGCUUGGUUCUGGUUAUAAGAGAUCUCAACAUGAUAUGUGUUUACAUGCUAAAGGAAGGAAAAUAUCCAUCAGUUUAUCUUCUUUUGUAUGUGGAUGACAUGUUGAUAGCUAGCAAGAGUAAAGCUAAGAUUCAAUUGCUUAAGGAGCAGAUGAAAUCUGUGUUUGAAAUGAAGGAAUUGGGAGGCAGCAAGAAGGAUACUUGGUAUGGAUAUUAUCAGAGAUCAACAAAGGGGAAAACUUUGCUUAUUCAGAGUGAUUAUGCUACUAAAGUGAUCAGAAAAUUUCUGAUGCAUGAAGCUAAAAGUCUGGUGAUUCCACUGUCUCAACAAGCCAAGUUUUUGUUACUCAAUGUCCUAAGACUGAUGAAGAAAUGAAGCAGAUGUUUCAGUGCCAUACUCCAAUGCAGUUGGAUCAGUCAUGUACAUGAUGAUAUGUACUAGACCAGAUCUUGCUUAUGCUAUAAGUAUCCUCAGUAGAUACAUGUCCAAUCCAGGAAGAGAGCAUUGGGAAGGAUUAAAAGGAGUUCUCAGAUACAUUAAAGGUCAGCUGAUUGUGGUUUGUUAUUUGAGAAGAAUGGUAUUUUUAAAGGUGAUCCUCUCAGAGGUUAUGUUGAUGCAGUUAUGCUGCUAAUUUGAUUGCAGGAGAUCCCAAACAGGAUAUAUAUUUACUCUGUAUGGGACUGCAAUCAGCUGGAAAUCAGUACUUCAAUCCGUAGUAGCCAUAUCUACUACAGAGGCUGAAUUUAUGGCCAUGCAGAGGCUGUGAAGGAAGCAGUUUGGCUUAGAGGUAUCUUGAAGAGUUUGGAGUUUUUCAAAAGUGUUGAGAUUUUUGGUGACAACCAAAGUGCUCUUCACCUAGCCAAACACCAAGUAUUUCAUGAGAGGUCAAAGCAUAUAGAUGUGAAGUACUAUUUUGUUCGUGAUCUUAUUAACAAGGGUCUGAUAAGGUUUACUAAGGUGGGAACCGAAGACAAUGCUGCAGAUGCUCUUACUAAUGGCUUUGCCAAGAGUUAAGUUUAAGUAUUGUCUGGAUCUUGUUAAAGUUUGUUAAUUGUUUUGGUUUUGAUGAGGAGAUGAGUCUUAUAUGCAGCAAGGUGGAGUUUGUAGGUUUGUGUUUAUAAGCUUCAGGGGUUAUUCUGCAAUAUUCAUUAAGUUGAAGGACUCUCUAGCAAAUAGGCAUAACAGUUAGUUAUUUCUCAGCUAACUGAAGCAGCGGCCGUUUUGCGAGAGGAUUUGCAGAAGAUCAGAUUGAUGUAUAAAGGCAUUCUCUUAUUGUAUUCCUUAGUUGCAGUGUGUAUUUUCUUCUCUGAUUUACUUUUACGAUAUUGAGUUGAGUGGAAAGAUUUGGAGAGGUGCUAAGUAUAGCUGCU
rnacentral:lncRNA from 1 species